rnacentral:rRNA from 1 species
GGGGAAUCUUGCGCAAUGGGCGAAAGCCUGACGCAGCCAUGCCGCGUGAAUGAUGAAGGUCUUAGGAUUGUAAAAUUCUUUCACCGGGGAAGAUAAUGACGGUACCCGGAGAAGAAGCCCCGGCUAACUUCGUGCCAGCAGCCGCGGUAAUACGAAGGGGGCUAGCGUUGCUCGGAAUUACUGGGCGUAAAGGGCGCGUAGGCGGACAUUUAAGUCAGAGGUGAAAGCCCAGGGCUCAACCUUGGAAUUGCCUUUGAUACUGGAUGUCUUGAGUUCGGGAGAGGUGAGUGGAAUGCCGAGUGUAGAGGUGAAAUUCGUAGAUAUUCGGCGGAACACCAGUGGCGAAGGCGACUCACUGGCCCGAUACUGACGCUGAGGCGCGAAAGCGUGGGGAGCAAAC